rnacentral:misc_RNA from 1 species
UUUCCGUAGGUGAACCUGCGGGAGGAUCAUUAAUGAGUUGUCAUGGGGUUCGAUGCUGGCAGCCAAUUUUUGGAUGCAUGUGCUUGCCCUAACAAUCAUCUUCCAAACACCUGUGCACAUUUUUGAGGGAGUCUUGAGUUGGUUGCCGCUCUUGGGUGAUUUUCUCACAUUCCCUUAAAUCAUUAUACGCUAUUAACAAUGUUGAACGUGCUCUGUGCCGCAAGGCUAUUAAUAUAAUACAACUUUUAACAACGGAUCUCUUGGCUCUC